AGCCGCGGUAACUCCAGCUCCAAUAGCGUAUAUUAAAGUUGUUGCGGUUAAAAAGCUCGUAGUCGGAUGUCUGUCUUCGGCCGGGCGGCGCCGCUCUGAAUUAAGGGUGUUUGCGUUUUCGCUCUGGGAGACGGGUGUCAAAGCCCGACUCUCUUUACGGUCGGACAACAUCGCCGGAGUGGUGGUCGGUGAGUGUCGUGUUGAAUGCUUUGCUUUCUUGUUAGCUUCGGCUAGUGGGGGGCUUGCUGCGAUCGCGACAUUUGCUCCACCCGUCAAUCGUUCGGGGUGCCCUUCACCGGGUGUCUCGGGCGGCCGGCAACGUUUACUUUGAACAAAUUAGAGUGCUCAAAGCAGGUGUAUCCCAACGCCUGAAUAU
rnacentral:rRNA from 1 species